rnacentral:rRNA from 1 species
AUUGAACGCUGGCGGCAGGCCUAACACAUGCAAGUCGAACGGUAGCACAGAGGAGCUUGCUCCUUGGGUGACGAGUGGCGGACGGGUGAGUAAUGUCUGGGAAACUGCCCGAUGGAGGGGGAUAACUACUGGAAACGGUAGCUAAUACCGCAUAACGUCGCAAGACCAAAGAGGGGGACCUUCGGGCCUCUUGCCAUCGGAUGUGCCCAGAUGGGAUUAGCUAGUAGGUGGGGUAACGGCUCACCUAGGCGACGAUCCCUAGCUGGUCUUGGAGGAUGACCAGGCACACAGGAACUGGGACACGGUCCAGACUCCUACGGGAGGCAGCAGUGGGGAAUAUCGCACAAUGGGCGCAAGCCUGAUGCAGCCAUGCCGCGUGUAUGAAGAAGGCCUUCGUGUUGUAAAGUACUUUCAGCGGGGAGGAAGGGGUUAAGGUUAAUAACCUUAGCCAUUGACGUUACCCGCAGAAGAAGCACCGGCUAACUCCGUGCCAGCCGCCGCGGUAA